UUGCCAAAAGUCUUUGGCUUCACGUGGGCUAUUUGGAUAAAUUGAUUUGGUUAUUGUAUCUAUGUUGUAUUUGUUGAAAAGAGAUGGCAGGCGGGCUUGCCGAAUUGAUGGCAUGAAGAUAAGGAAUAAGAAAAAAAGAACAAAACACGGGUGGUGGGGUCCACUAAUUGAUUAUGGUCUUUGAUAUUUUGUGUGGUGAACAAUUAUUGAGUUAGUGGUUUUGCCUAUAAAAAAAAAAAAAAUAAAAAAAUAAAAAAUAAAAAAAAGAAGAAAAUUAGAGUGAAGACAAAGAGAGUGCACAAAGAGGGCCGAGAUUGAGGAGAGACAGAGAGGAAACGAGAGUUGCAGAGGAGGCAGAAAGCUUGGAGACUUGAUGAUUCAGUGAGAAAAAUUCUUUUUUUUUUUUUUUCAGGGGUACGAAAAAGAGGUGGCGGACGACGAUCCACCCCAAGUUUAGACGAGAUUGGAGGCCUAUUUUAUUUUGAUAUCUUUUGUAUUAGAACUCUAAUAUUUUUUAAAUGUAAUCUUAACUAUUUUGUGAAACUUUAAUUUAAUUAGUAUAAUGUUGUAAAUUAUGGACUUUUAAAUGUUAGCUAUAUUUUAUUGAAUAUAACUUAAUGUCACUAAAGUGUGUUCCUUAUUUGGAUGAGAUGAAGGAACGGGACUUUGUAUAUGUAUGUAAUAAUUUUAGGAAUUUGGUAUAAUAUUUGUAUUAUGCGUUGGGACAUAAUAGAUUAGUUUUAAGGCCAAUUGAGGCCAUUGCAUUUUCAUGUGUUUCAACAGAUUGUAAAGGGACUUUUUCUGUGGAUAUCGUGUCGAAAUUUUAUAUAUUUUAUUAUUAUUAUUUUGGUAUCCUGAUGGGUCGUUACAAAUUUAGUAUCAGAACAAUGGUUCGAAAACCAGUAGGACGACGGGUAGAGGCCUACCUAGGGUUGUGUGGAAGGUGGAUUGCAUUGUUUAUGUACUUAUGUGUUAAAGUGUUUGUUACCUGAGAAACAUGUUUACUUGCUUAAUUGUUUAUGUAUUUACAGUUUUAAAA